UUAAUAACAAACUGAAAUUUCUUAAGAAAAAUCCGCAGAAUUUUAACAAUAUUAUGGCUCAGCUUUUCAUUUGCGUGCUAAAACUUACAGAAUGUAGUGUGUCUACAAAGGCACUGAACAUUUAGUCGCAGGUUUCUGGAACUGAACAGCAUCAUAUUUUACAUCUUAUCAAGAUCUAGAAAGUGUUUUUAAAUUUACAUUCAUCUCCACAGCUGUGUAGUGAUCUGAAGCAGCGACACGCCACUCAAUCUAAAAUUAGAACUAUUAAGGAAGAUUUAGUUAUCCCAAUAUCUUGUAAACAUAUAAAAUUUAAACAGAAAUGCGUAAAAGUCAAUGCACGAAUAAUAGGGUUCAAUCAAACCAAACUCUGUCAUGCUGAAGCUGCUGAUUGACAGUAUAUUGCUCAAUGUUCAUGUCUUUAAAUAUUUUCACAGUAAUUUUUACACUUUCAUCAUCGGAUUGGACCCUCUGGUGGGCCGGUUUUGGAUUGCAGGCUGUAUGUUAGGCACCCCUGCUCUACAGUGACAUUCAGAGAUUUUUGCAAUAUGGUUUUUGAGCAAAUAUCUUCAUCAACAACAUAUGAGCUUUACCUAAUCCAGUGUGGUUUUCUUUGUCCGGUCUCUGCUGAAAGUGUCUUAUCUUUGUUCUGAGUUAGGAGCAAGUGUAAGGCUUAUCACCGCUACAUGAUAUCUGUUAGAAACUGGAAUGAAGUGACCUCGCACGAAGCCGAGAAGCAGAAAAAACUGUUGAAUCUGUGAGUCUGCAACAGUCUGAGCGGGCUCUGCUAUCAUCACCGUCAUCAUUGUUGUUGCCGGCGUCAUCAACACCGGCACAAACCGCCCCGGGAACGGCAGAAGCCUGUUAGCGGGUGCACAGGCCUUUGUGUGCUCGUCUCCUUCUCCGAGGGAGGGAAGCGGCAAAAAGGGGGGAGAUAAGGGGAGAACUUGUUGUCCUUCCCCUCCUUCCUCACUCACACGCGUGAGAGCUGCGGGGAGCGCGAGCUGCAAAUCCGCUAGCCUGCACUCCAGCGGCGAAAGAGGCAACGGGAGAGGCGGGAAAGAAAAGAUAAACCGAGCCAAACGUGCCUGCUGCUGCCUCUGAAGUCAGUCUCGGCUCUCUCCAUCCAGUCCUCCUCUCCUUUCCCAUUAUUUCCUCCUCCCCUGCAACUCUGCCAUUUUCCCCUUACUCUCCUCUGCUCGUAUAAAUAUUUAUAAUGUGACUAUUGCUAUUCUUUCUCUCCUUUUCAUUCCCUUGUGCUCCCUGUCUCUGUCACACACACCGUCUCAUUCUGUAGAUGAAUGUAACUCCUGCCGUUUACUGUGUGCACAACAGAUUUGCUGGGAGAUCAGGUUUAGCACAUUCAUUUCGCAGGAGUCUCUGUACAAACUGAGUCUCGGUCAGGUAUCACCAUCUGCUCCCAAACUUUCUGUUCUUUCAUCCUUCCUCCCUCACUAUCAUUUCUUCCUUUACUUUUCUCUGUAUUUUGUUGUUCUGCUGCAGCUCCUUUUGCCUCUUCUCCCUACCUCUUUAUUUCAGUGCUGAUUUUUCCUUUAUCCUUCUCCACAAACUCCACACUGCUCUUUCCUGUUCCAUUCCUAUCUUUUCUGCUCCCUCUCACUCGGUGGCUGCUUUCUGCAAUUCUUUUCUCAGCUCUUAUUUUUAGCAGGAAGUCAGUCGGCUCUUGGGGACCCCUGGCAGCCUCUCAAGGCUUUGUCAGGGAUGGCAAGCGUUGCAGGAGAGGGGGGAAGAGAGAGGGGAGAGGCGAGAAAAAGAGGGGUUGAGUAAGGAGGUAGGAGAUAAAAUUCAUGCAGGGAGAGGAGUUGGGAAGUGAGGGGAUGACAGGGAAAGAGAAGGUGGAGGUAUAAAAAGACUGGAGUGGAGAAGAAACUGUCCAUGUUUCUCCCCAGAGGGAGGCUGCCUUACCUGGGUAAACUCACAGCUCACAGCCCUGGAGGCUGAUGCCACACUCCUGCCCUAUGUUGUCAUGGUGAUCCAAGCAGGUCCCGCUGUCAAUCACUAUAUGAGGACUGUGUGUGUGUGUGUGUGUCAUGUUUGCUGCGUUUUGGUUCCCUUGACAUUCAGACAUCAUUUCUCCAACAUCUUUUUCCUAAUAUUUUUUUCUUUGCAAUACCAAUAAUUCUAAUAAUGAAAGAACGCAGCAGUAUUUUGGGAGGCAGAAUACACAACUAUAAAGUAUGAAAACUUAGAAAAUAUGCACAAAAAGCUUCAUUAGGCUCAGCUCAAAUCUCUGUUUGGGUUUUUUACAGGUUGCAAUGAAUGUAUUUACUUUUUUCAGUAAUUGUGUAUUUGUGCAUUUAAGCUUUUAAAAGACUACCCAAUUUACUGCAGUUUUUUUUUACACUUGCUCAUUUACAACAUCUGAAGGCAGCCUUUAUUUGAUUAACAGUUCUCCACUUAAUGAAAAUCAACAUAGUGUACACUACCAUUCAAGAGUUUGGGGUCACUUAGAAAUGUCCUUAUUUUUGAGAAAAAAACUUUUUUUUUUCAAUGAAGAUGCCAUAAAAUGAAUAAUAAAUCCAGUGUAGACAUUGUUAAUGUGGUAAAUGACUAUUCUAGCUGGAAACAGCUGAUUUUUAAUGGAAUAUCUCCAUAGGGAUACAGAGGAACAUUUCCAGCAACCAUCACUCCUGUGUUCUAAUGCUACAUUGUGUUAGCUAAUGGUGUUGAAAGGCUCAUUGAGUGCAGUUAUGUUAGCACACGGAUAAAAGUGUGAAUUUUCAUGGGAAACAUGAGGUUGUCUGGGUGAUCCCAAACUUUUAAACGAUAAUGUCUAUUUUAAUCUUGACUCCUACUGCAAUAAACAAUGCAGUACAGAACAAAAGAGUACAUUUCUGGGCAAAAUCCCCUAAAUGUCCAUUUAUUUAAAAUUGCAUCACCUGUCAUUGCAUCACUUUGAAGUUAAAAAGUUAAGUGCAUUUACUCUUGAGGAAAAUCAGUUUAGAUUUAUCAGAAUAAAAUACAGGCAACAAAGAAGGAACUCAGUACAAUUAAAAUCAUUACUGAGACUCAGAUCUUUUUCUUUUUUUCUUUCUUUUCGAUGGCAGACGUAAUCUUCCUCUCCACGGAGGACGCCAGAGUUGAACAAAUUUCGGGACAGAUGUUCUUCCAUUCUACAGAGACAGUUUUUUUUUCAGCUGCUUUGCUCUUUGCUGGAGGGGUUGUGUUACUCUGCUUGUCUCUUUAAAAUACCCCAAAUGUGUCCAAGUUUGGCAUCAUACUCGGGCAGGUCACAGUUUCACUGUUUUUUUGUUUAGGUUUUGUGAUUUUGGCAUUGUGCUUUGGAUGCUGGAAUAUUCCUCUUCUGCUGACUGGGAGUUAUCUUGUGUUUUUUAGUACGUCCACAGACAUUCAUUGUUCAUUUAAAAAUAUAAGCUCCCCAACACUUUUUUUCCCCCUUUUUUGGGCCUUUUCUGCUUUAUUAUAAAGGACAGUAGAGAAAGAGAGACAGGAAAUGUGGGUAGAAGAGUGGGGGAAGAUCCUGCAGCAAAGGACCAUGAGCUGGAUCCGAACCUAUUACCACUAUGUCGGGAAUUAUAGCCCCUGUUUUUGGGUUGCCUGCUCAAUUCAAACCCAACACUUUUUGCCUUCAAGCAUUGCUACAUCAUCACACUCUCACCUCUGAGCAUCAGUGUGAGGAUUAUGAUUUCACUGUGGGGUCUUUUUUUGGGAUGGCAUUCAUAAAGGCUGACAUUAUGCGCCGUCUUUAACACCAUCAGACAUGUCACAAAAACUCAGAAUACAGAAACAGAAGUUUUUCCAUUGAUCACCUCUGUGCCAAAGCUGACGCAUUUGCUCAUGGCAGCGUACUGUCUGUAGCGUAAUUUAAGGAGAACAAUGACUUUGAUUGUGAUCAGUGGUCCUGUGGCUGUAUCUUUUGGUUACUGCUUCGUUUCACAUUAGUAUUUGUUGAUUGCUGACAUUUCUGUAUCAUUCUUCAUAGGCCUGCACGAUUAACCGUUUUUGAACCUCAAUGUCGAUUCACCCCUACACGCGAUUUAAUUUCUAAAUUACGCUGAUUUUUUGUUCUUUCCCGAGUGCCGGCGCCCGGCGGCACGUGUCGGAGUUGUGAACAAGCGCUCCAAGGCUUCUCCCUCAUUCAAUAACAAAGCGGCUUUUGGUCACGCCCCAGUGAACAAAUGAACGCAAGAUGGAUGUCGCUGAAAGCCCAGGUAACGCGGAGAGUCAGCCCACCACCCAACCCGACCUCGUUCCUAAAAAAGGUGGUACUUCAGUGGUGUGGAACUACUUUGGUUUCAGAGAAGACGACUUUGCUGCAACAGCUGAUUUAUGGUCCAGUCGGACGACGGAGCAAUAUAUGAGUCUUACUGUCCACUUCAUUGCGACGGACUUCACCAUGAAGAGCAAGUGCCUUCAAACAUCUUUUUUUCCUGAAGACCACACGGGUGAGAUCUUGGCACAGGGGCUAAAGGAUGCCCUAGCAUCUUGGAGUUUAGAAGAGGAGAAAAUGACGUGUGUAACAACAGACAACGGACAAAACAUAGUGAAGGCAAUCUCCAUCAACGAGUGGACCAGGCUGCAAUGUUUUGGCCAUCGGCUACAUCUGGCCAUUGAAAAUGCCAUGAAGGAUUCGCGAAUUGACCGUGUCAUGGGACUCUGCAAGAAGAUUGUGGGUGCAUUUAGUCACAGCUGGAAAUGGAGGAGAGACCUUACCACAGCUCAGAAAGAGCUCAAACUCCCUGAGCAUCAACUGAAAACUGAAUGCCCUACAAGAUGGGGAUCAAGGCAGGCAAUGGUUCAGAGGAUCCUGGAACAGCUUCCAGCCAUUACCUGGGUUUUCUCCAAUGAUCGAAAGGUUAGACAUCUGGUUCCUGGAUAUCAGGACAUAGAAGUCCUUGAGACAAUCAACAGCACCCUAAGGCCCCUGGCUGACUUCACCGAUGCUCUCUCUGGCGAGCUAUAUGUCAGCGUAUCCUCUCUGAAGCCAGUUCUCCACCUUUUCAAGACUUCAGUUUUGGUUGUGAAAGAUGAUGACACCGAACUCACGAAAAAGUCAAGUCAAACAUUCUGAAAUAUCUCCAAGAUAAAUACAGUGACCCGAGCACUCAGGAUCUCCUCGACAUAGCCACCAGCGUUGAUCGUCGGUUCAAAAUUACCUACGUCAGCGACGAGAAGACAGCCACACUUAAAGCCAGACUAGCUGAAGAGAUGACUUCCAUUGCUGUAGCCACAUCAACUCCCUCCCCAGGACCCUCUUUAAAGAAAGUCCGAAAGACCCUUGGAAGUUUCUUCAAGGAAGCACAAGGCAGCGAGGAGUCCUGAAGUCAAGAGACAGCAGUGGCCUCAGAGCUGGAAGCAUAUCUUCUGAUGGUAAAUGGUCUGUAUUUAUAUAGCGCUUUACUAUACCUGCAAGGUACCCAAAGCGCUUUACAUGAUACAUCACAUUCACCCAUUCACACACACAUUCACACACUGAUGGCGGAAGCUGCCAUGCAAGGCGCUAACCACGACCCCAUCAGGAGCAAUUCGGGGUUAGGUGUCUUGCUCAGGGACACCUCGAACACGACGGGGCGAGGAUCGAACCGGCAACCCUUCGGUUGCAAGACGGCCACUCUACCCACUGAGCCAUGCCGCCCCACAAUGGGCAGCAUCGACAGUGAAGAGGAUCCAUUAAUCUGGUGGCAGCAACAUCAGAGUCAAUAUCCACGGUUGUCUGUGUUAGGGAAGAAAUACUUUUGCAUCCCAGCUACCAGUUCACCUUCUGAGCGGCUGUUCAGCACAGGGGGAAUAUAGUGACAUGUCACCGCACAUCACUAAAGCCUGAGCAUGUUGACAGGCUAAUUUUUCUGGCAAGGAAUCUUUAAAUGCCAUGCUCAGGGUAUAUCCAGGGCCAUUUGAGAGGCCUAACCUAUAUCUCAGAGGAAGUUAUCUUUUUUUUUUUUUGCCACUGAAGAUGUUUAAUUAUUUUUUAGUCUAUUUAUGUUACAAUUUUUCAGAGCCUAACUGAAUGGCCACUGGUUACCUUUUCCACAAAACAAAACUAACCUGUGUGUGGACUUUGAGUAUAUUUGAGUAUUUUGACAGGUUAAUGUUUAUUAAAGUACUGUAGAGAAUGGAUGGAUGGAUGUAUUGUGCCAUGUUCAGGGUCUAAUCUAGGGCACUUUAGCGUAGCCUAAGUUUGAAAGAAAUUAUUCAACUUUAUUUGAAUUUUUUUUUUUAAAUCACUGACACUUCAGUAGAUUGUAUUUUAUUUAUUUAUCAAGGUUUAUUUAUGUUACACCCUCAUUUUUUUUCCAUUCAUGAUGUAUAAUCAACAUUUCAUUUUGUGGAAAAAAAAAUCGUGGAAGAAAAUCGUGAUUUCAAUUCAAAGCUAAGAAAUCGAGGUUCAUAUUUUUUCCUGAAUUGUGCAGGCCUAAUUCUCCAUAUUUUUUAAUUACAUUUCUCAGUUGCUCAGUUGCAUUUCUCAGCCAUGUUCCUUCCAUUAAGCUACCUAGAAAUAACAAAGCUACUGUACAUAUAAAUUGCUAACAGAUUUUAAUAACUCUUGUACAAAAAUCUCUGAACAUUGUGUAUGUGUUUUCUUUUAUGUUGUAUGAGACUUUUCAAAUGCUUAAGCGCUUUAUCUUUAUUGCUAUGCAUUGAUGUAGCGCUGUCAAAAAAAGAUGCCGACUGGUUGAUCACAGUGCUGAUUAAGAUGAAAUGCUUAUUUUUGACAGGCACAAUGAAGACGGCUCUCUGAAGAGCCAUGAGAGAUAAAAAGUAUGACUGUACGUAAGAAGAGUUGAAAAGCUGCCAUUUGGGCAGGAGUGAGUCUGGGAUUGUCAGGAGUAGAGGUUGAUUACGCUGGACAGGUGAGAGGAGAGCGAGAAAGAGGAGAGAGAGGACCAGAGAGAGGAUUGCAGGGGGAAAUUUAAAAACAAGGGGGUUAGCGAGGGCGAGAGACAGACCUCGAGCUCGUGAGCCGCAGCUCUUGAGCCCAAUUGUCUCCAAUAAUGGCCUCUUUGAUCAGGCUUUCAGCGCCCACUCACGCCUGUGAACACGCACAUUGCAACAAACAUCCAGGCGGAUUUCGUAAGCCGAGGCAACACUUCCCUGAGUGUUUCCAUGUUUGUUUGUGUGCGCUGCCCUCGCUACAGAUUUGAGUGGCAUCUUUUUUUAUGCCAUGUGAUAGCGUGAGCUGGCGGAGCAGAGCGGGAAUAUACUGCAGUGAAUGUUGUGUUUAAAUAUGGAUCUCAUUGUGCUUUGGAGUCGACUCAGGGUCAAGAGAGGAGCAGCUUUAAUUCUUACAGGCUUUGUUCUCUUGCUCCCCCCUUCUGCCUGCCUUUUUCUCUGUCUUACUUCAGUUCAUUGGCUGCUUUAGUGGCAUCACACAGAGACCACAGAUUUACUAUAAGAUAAUACUGAUCAGUUAACAGCCUACUCACUAUGUCUUUCCUGUUUGUAUAUGGAACUGUUAAAGAUAUAUUUAGGACAUUUCUGCUUUUUUACUUGUGAAAUAAAUUCAAAUAAUAACCAUUCAGCAUCCCUUAUUGGUUUCUUGAUAGCAGAGUUUUUUUUUAGGCAUUUUCUGCAUAUGUCAAAUCAUAUAACACCCUGACCAAUUCAUUAACCGGAUUCUAAUAAUUACUAUUAUUUAUUCCAAAAACAAUAUAAAAAGCAUUGUUUCCCUAGCAUUAAAAAAUUAAAUGUUUGGGGUCACUAGAUAUGUAGUUGUGCUACUUUUUUUUAGUGCGUAAAGUUGUGUUUUGUAGUUUGACCUCACGGUGAAGCUGUUUGCUCUCUGUCACUUUGAAUAAAAUACAGACACACCCAUGAAGAAGCACUUAUAGUAGCUUCAUGUGAACGUAACACUACAUGUUUUGUGCUGACUAACAUUUUGUUUGGUACCGUAGUGUUUUGAUGACAACUGUUCAUGAAAUUAAGGUGUACAUAAGGCUUGUGAUUAUGUUGCUGCAAUGCCUAUAAAGAUCUAAGCAGAGUUGCAGAGUAUUCCAUUACACUUCAAGAUUAUCACGCACCAGAACGGAACAACAAAGUACUACACUGCCAGAGUGACUCCCGACACAACUUAUUGUAUUCUGUAUUUUCUAGCACCUUUUUUGUAUCAAGUCUGUCUCUGGCUCAUGAUUGCCAGCUUGAAUCAAAUAAAGUGAAUGUACUCAAGACCAGCACAGCCAUUUUCCACUAACCCAAAGAGGCUUGCUUACACACAAGACUAGCUUUUGCAGGUCUCCUCUUUGCUUAACAAAUACCUCUGGAUUUAGUCUGAGAAUAUAGGCAGAAGUGUAAAUCAAGGAAAAGCAGGUUUAGAAGAGGGAUAUGGAGGAGUCAGAGGAGCGAGGAUAGCCAACUACCUGAGAUCAUCCUGUCAAACGUUCAUCUUUACAGAACAUGAAUGAGCAGCUUUCUGUACUCAAAAGGUUGGACUCAGACUACAAGUAAACCAGUCUUUUCUGGUUCAUAGAGACAUGAUCUGGGAUCUCUCUAGGGAUUUUAACAAAGUGGCAUCAGCAGGCAUUUGCCCAACCUGGAGCAAUACUUAGCAAUCAGAAUACAGAGCAUACUGGACUUGUAUUAUGGUAGCGUUAUAAAUACAUUUAUCUUAAAAUCCAACCUUCCUCUUGAUCAUUCUGACCAUAAUGGCAUUCUGGUAUUGCCAAAGUUUAAGUCACAGCUACAAAGAUGUAUAAGUGUGGAGAAAAGAAGCCACUGGAUCCUUAUAAAGGUGUUUUGAAGUGAAUGACUGGAUCGUUCUUUUAUGGUGAUUUUGAAUAACUGAUGACUGAUUUAGUGCCGUGUCAUACAGCAAGGACAGUCACUCCAGACAGUAACUCAGUGCAGACAACAAGAAAAUUCAGAGUUGGGGAAUUAAAUUCAGUGCAGAAGGAAGACCAAGUUGGCCUACAUCCAUUAUAAUGACGAGGUGGAGCAGAAACAACUACCGUAACUGGAAGUGCAAAGGAGGUAUGGCAGGGGUUAUAUAGGGUUAAAUAUCAUGAUGGGUAAAGCUCCCAAAUCUACACUCGCUGACAAAUUUGAAGCCACCUCCUUUGCAGAACACCUCAGUAGCUUUAUCGGCUGGUUGAGCAGCUGCAGCACAACCACUAACUCCUCCCCAGCCCAUCUCUCCAAGCUCCCGCCAUAGAUGAACAGUCAGUGAAAUCCAUCCUGAGCAGAGACAAUCAAAGUAAAGCCUCUAGCCCUGACAGGCUUAGAGGAAAGAUGCUCAAAGACUGCUCCACUUGGCAAAGUGGAUUGUUCCAAGUUAGUGGAAGGAAUCCACCAUAAUCCAAAUUCCUGCAAAGCCAUAUGUUGAGGACCUGAAGGACUUUUG